CGGGGGAGGCGGGAUCCUGGGCUGUGUCCCGGCGCGCUGUGCUCCGGAGCCUGCGCUGGUGGAUUUGCGCUCCCGGGCCGCGCAACCCCCU
rfam:Canis lupus familiaris chromosome X, whole genome shotgun sequence.